CUCCGAAUUAAUUUUGAUAAGCUGGGGUUCUAAACGUCCACCUACAUCUAUGUACACGGGUAUUUUUCUCCAUUUUGCCCCCAUCGAAAUGCGGCCGCCGUGGCCGGGAUUCGAUCAGGCGACCUCGUGCUUAGCAGCCCAACACCAUAUCCACGAAGCAACCACAGUGGGUACCGUCAGUCAA
rnacentral:lncRNA from 1 species